CGCCUGGGUUCGAAUCCUGACUGUCCCCCUCACCAGGUCCGUGGCCUUGGCCAUCACUCAACCUGGCCCAGCCUCAGAGUCAGUGCUUGUCUCUGAACAAUUAGGGCUGCGUGGGGGGCUAAUAUUUAGGACACGAAUAAAAUAAUGUAUAAGGCUUAGCCCAGUGUGUGCUCUUUAGAAAACAUCAGUUAACAUUAACCAUCAUUCCAUAUGUUCACUUCCUGCCAGGCUCUGGGGAGGAAAGGGAGCCCAUGGCAGACCAGACCCCUGGCCGGCCAGGGUCCCCGGGGUCUGCGAGGAGGACGUUCAUGGGCGAGUGUGUGGUGGUGGGUGAACUGCGGCAGAACCCGAGAUUAACAGCUGGAACCCUCUCCUCUUGCAGGUGAGGAAGAUGACACCUGGCAACACUAUGCCUCACCCCUAGUUAGUGGCUCAGCCCAGACCUCGGGCUCCCGCCUAGCCCAGGACUCUGCCCGACUGUGGCCUUCUGGGCAAAGCUGGCACCAGGGUCAGAAGCCUGGGGAGCAGAGAGGCCCAUUGUUAAGGCUGGGAGGCGGAGUCAGGAAGCCCAGGAUGUAAACCAAUGGGAGACCACGGUGAUGAUGUAAUGCUCGGCCUUCACCUUCAUUGGCUGCCGGUCCUGCCACUCCAGACCCUGCUCUGGGGCUCUGCCUUUCGCCGCAGGUUCUCCCGCAGAGGGGGUCAUUGGUCUGGGAAGGAGAUUGAAGAGUGGGGGUUGGAGGCUGAGGACUGAGCCGGGAGCUGUCGUCCUUCCCUGAGCCUACCAGGGAACUGACUGCUGCCUUUACUAAACACAAAGCUCCUGGGCGAGCCCGGGGAGCGGGUUCUAAACACCCCACCUCCUGGGGCAGCGCCGCGCCUGGCGUCUGCGGGGAUGCAAAUCUCAGGAGUGUUAGGAGGAGACAGAGGCACCAGCCCCGCUAGCCUGGGAGGCAGCCUGGUCUGGGUGAAAAGCGUGGGACCCUCAGCCCAGAGCCGCACAAGACUUGGAUUUGCUUUGGAAACCACUGUGCUUUUCAACAAGAUCGUUCAAAUGGCCUGGGUGGAGACGGGGAGCUGGAGAGUUGGGGAUGGAAGCCGAUUUUAAGCCUGGAGGAAUCCAAACUGCACACAGUAGUCCAAGGCCCUGCCCCGCCUCCGUCCACCACCAUCCUCCCCCCGCACCCCCGCCAUGAGGUCCAUGACUGUAUCCUCAUUUCACAGAUGAGGAGACAGGCACAGAGCAGCAGCCAUGGCCAUGUGGCCGGUCACGCAGUGGAGGGAGGCCCGGGGGCAGGAGAGGGGCGCCUAAGGCCACACAGCAGGGCUGCGCCGGCGCGCAUGGCUGAGAAGCAGGUUCCAGGAGUUUCUGGGAGUUCUUGCUCAACAUCAAGAAACUUCCACCAGGAUCCACGGGGGGAAGUGGAAGCAGCCUUGUGAUAGCAGUUUCAAAGGCCUGGGCUCUGGCAAAUAGGAAAAAACAGGCUGAGAAAACAUAUCAGGCAGGCCUGCUUGUGAGGGAACCUGGCAGACAUCCAACCAGCAGUCUGGUGGCCAAUUCGGUACAUCAGACAUGCGCUUAAUCCAUCAUUCGGCAGCGGGCAGGUCACUGGCCACACAGGCUUCAGACCUCCUGGCUUGAGGGAACUUGGGGUUGCCAUCAGGCCCGUAUGAAUCAGAAAUUCUGGGCUUCUCAUCCCCCACCAGGCACUCCCACACUGUCCCUCCUCUGCAUGUUUGCCUCUCCAUUCUCUCUACCUUCACUGUCUCGGUUGCCUAUGGUCACAGUGAUACUCAAUAAACCACCAAAUCCAGUGGCUUAAGAGCAUGUGCUUCCUUCAGCAGGGCAGUUCUGACCUUGGCUGGUCUCACUCAUGUGUCUGCAUCUGUGGUGAGCUGGCAGAUUGGGGUGUAGAUUGGGCUCUCCCACUUGUCCAGGUCCUCAGCUGGGACACCUGGGCUGGCUUGGCUCUGCUCUGUGUGGCCUCUCAUGCUCCAAGAAGCUAGCCCAGGCUUAAGUACACUGAGGUGGCAGUUGCAGCCUGCAAGGCCUCUCGUGGCUUAGGCUCAGGACUGGCACAUCAUCACUUCUGCUGCACUUCUCCCUGCUAAAGCAAGUAUUGAGGCCACCCAAGAUCCAGAAGGUGGAGAGGAGCAGCAGAGCCUCACUGCAAAGGGCACAAAUGUGCAGAGGCCCUUCUCUGGAUCCACAAAUGCAGCCAGUGUACAGCAAACACCAUCUCCGCCCCCUUCUCUCCACCUGUUGGCAUACUUACUGUUCUUCAAGGCCCACCUGAAGUCUAGCUCUUUGUGAAGUUUUACCUAAACAUUCCACCCUACACCCACCAUAAGCUAAAUGAAUAGCAGGAUACUAUCUGGGGCGCUGGGUCCCAAAAGAAGGUGCCUAAAAGAGAAACAGGAUGUGACUGGUCCUGUGGGCUCCGGUUGGGGAACUCUGCAGCUGGGACAGGAACCCAUAGACACCAGGGCCCUCCCCUGCCCAGGCCUUCGGGGAGCCCCUUCUGAGGAUGAGAACCAAGGUCUGAAAUCCCAUGCUGCAGGCAAAGGCAGGGACUUCCACCCAUCCUCCUGCCAUCUACCAAGUAUCCACUGAGGGCCUGCGGGUUGUUCUUGGCUCUGUGCUAGGCGCUUUCACGCAUCAUCUCAUCAAACCCUCCCAACAACUUACAAGGUGGUUAUUGCUUUCCUCCCCAUUUUACAGAUGAGGAAACCAGGGAAAUCAAGGGUGUUUGAGUGACUGACCGAAAGUCACACAGCUAGGAAGUAAAGGAGCCAGGAUACAGGCCCAGAGCUCUGGUUUUAUCUGAAACCAAAACCAGAAGUUCCUCUUCCAGCUGCCCACCACCUCUCUGAGUAUCAGCCCUGCUAAUGACAAUGAUAACAUCAGCUCUGCAGCAUCGUUCUAAGCACUGUACGUUAAUGCGAUCAGUUAAUAAAAGCAUCUUGCCUUAAUUAAUUUACUCCUCUCAAUAACCCUUUGAGGUAGGUACAAUCUUUACUGCCAUUUGACAGAUGAGGCACAGGGAGGUUAAGGGAUUUGCCUAAGGUCACACCACUGGGAAGUGACAGAGGCAGGCUUUGAAUCUUCACACACUUGCUACCACACACUCACCAUUUUUGUAGUCAGGAUUUCAUAGGCUCAGGGUCCGAGGGGACUGGGGCAUGCCAGGGGGGUGGGAAGGUAGGAUGCAGAGCCGAAAUAGGAGACACUGGAGCUGGGACAGGAGCCCAGAGAGAAGAUGAGCAGCAGAGCAUGGUCUCCGGCAGCCUGCGUCCCUCCUUUCCAAGUCACGAUGCCAACCAGAAGCCCUAAUCGAGGGUGGUGCUGGAGAGGCUCUGGGAGGAGACCGGGAUGGUGGCGCAUAUGGCCGUGCCACCCUAGACCGCCCUUCAGGGAGGGUCCUGAUGGCCUGGCUUGGCUUUUCUGCAGAAGCAUCAGCUGGGGACAAGUAAGGGGUGGGGAGGGAAGCGAGAGGAGACGGAACUGCAGACUGGGCAGACUGGGUUCCCCAUUAGCCAGGCCAUAUGUCCAAAUGUGGACACAUAAGUGCGAGCAGGCACCAAGCCUGGCGAGCCCAGCUGCAGAACAGCAUGGGGAGAGCUCGCC
rnacentral:lncRNA from 10 species